AGCCCAAUGAAAUGCCUGCUUGUGUGUUACCAUUUUACCACCCAUUCAGGCAGUGACAGGCUUUUGCAGCCUGAAUGUGUCAAACGUUCAGGAGGGAUGGGGGAGGUUGGUUUGUUUUGGCAAGCACAACCCAAAACUUGUUCAGAAUUUGGUGCUUGAGAAUGUGUCUGCCUUGGCUGAUAUUUCUGUUCUGGUUGUCUUUCAGCGUGCUUGUAGAUGACCUGCAGCUCAGUGACAGUGAGGAGAGCGAUGACAACCAAGUUGUUGAAAGGCCACCUUCUCCCCUUGCUCCUCCAAGAUACAGUUUCAGCGUGCUCCUGGAUGACCUGCAGCUCAGUGACAGUGAGGAGAGUGAUGACAACCAAGUUGUUGAAAAGCCUCCUUCUGCAUUUGUUUCUCCAAGAGACAGCGUGCUCAUAGACGACCUGCAGCUCAGUGACAGUGAGGAGAGCGAUAACAACCAAGUUGUUGAAAAGCCUCCUUCUCCGCUUGGUGGUCCAAGGUCUUUGCAAUCCAGCAGCUCAGAGUCAGGGAGCACCAGUGACUCUGAGAGCUCUUCAGACUCUGAGACCAGUGACUCUGAGAGCUCCUCAUCCCCGGAGACAAGCGACUCAGAGAGCUCCUUGGGCUCAGAGACCCACCACACUGGGGGUGUCAAAAGGCCUGGCAAGCCCCUGGUGGACAACAGGGCCAAGAGAUGCCGGAAGGAGGACAGCAACCCUGAUCCAUUGGAGAUCAGAGCCCAGUCUUCCAGGGACAAACAGAGGGUCAAAAAAAGAGCAAAGCCGGAAUCUACUUACAGAAAAGACCUGAAGCCGGCCCUCCAAGAGCCCCUUGAGAACAGAAAGGGCUCCCAGCAGGCUGAAGUGAAACAGCCCUUUGCUCUUGGGGUGAAGAAGUUGCUCUCGCCAGUGAGAGACCCCGCAGCUCCUGAGCCUGUCCGGGUGAAAGAAGAGCACCAGAGAAGAGCAGAGACCAAGGACCUCCCUCGUGCAAGGAAGCGGGACUUGAAGAGGAGAGCCAUGGACAGUCCUGAUGAACCCAGUGGGAAGAAAAAGAGGGGAGAGAUAUGAAGAUUAAAGGUAGUCUUCAGUAAGCUAAGACUGCAAUAAAGUGAACACUCCUGAGUUUGCUUCUAACAUAGGAUGCCUUCUGAAACUUAAUCUGCUGGAGAUUUGCCUUUCCAUCCUGGAAGUAACCACUCCAGAAAAGAGCUUUGUAGGUAUAUAUGGAGGUCUUUGCCGAAGUCAUCAGAGAGACCUGUGCUCUGGUAUUGACCAGGAGCCUGACAGACCUGUCACAUUCCACCAGGCAGGCAGUACAAUGACUAAGACUGGAAGAAAACAUGCCGGAAUUGUUUCUCCAGGAUGUCAAAUACCUUCCAGUUUUCUGUCAUUUUGAAGCCUUAGGAACUUAGGAAGUUAGUUUAGUUAUUUUUUGAAUUGUUCAAUAAAACACCUGCAAGGAAAAAUAGAAAGAGCUUAGUUAUUUUUUUUGAAUUUUUGAAAAAAGUACCUACAAA